rnacentral:misc_RNA from 1 species
GAAAUACAUUCUUACCGCUCUCAUUAAUAGAAAACCAACCAAAGUGCUCAACUAUAAAACAUCUUUUGAACUAUUUUCAACAAGUUACCUACUUUUUAGCGCCUCCAUGUCUUUGGUUGUUUAUGUUUUGUACGUAAUGUUCACAUUAAACAUAAGUUUGGUUUGGGAUUUUUAUUAGUUAUCCAUAUGGUAAAAAGGUUACAAAACCUUUUUUUCUUCACACUCAAAAGGUUUGAGUUGUGACUACAUGAUCAAGAAACCAAAAGACAAUUUG